rnacentral:rRNA from 1 species
UGGAUUAGGCAUGCAAGUCGAACGAAUCCCUGAGGGCUUGCUUUCAGGGGAAAGUGGCGAAAGGGGCAGUAAGGCGUGGGUAACCUACCCUGGGGUCCGGUAUAGCCGUCCUAACGGACGGGUAAUCCCGGGCGAUGUAACGUGGUCGCAUGGCCGUGUUACCAAAGGUUUACCGCCCGAGGAGGGGCCCACGUGGUAUUAGCUUGUUGGCGAGGUAACGGCUCACCAAGGCAAAGAUGCCUAGCGGGUGUGAGAGCACGACCCGCGCCACUGGCACUGAGACACUGGCCAGACUCCUACGGGAGGCUGCAGUCGAGGAUCUUCGGCAAUGGGCGCAAGCCUGACCGAGCGACGCCGCGUGUGCGAUGAAGGCCUUCGGGUUGUAAAGCAC